rnacentral:rRNA from 1 species
UGGGGAAUAUUGCGCAAUGGCCGAAAGGCUGACGCAGCGACGCCGCGUGUGGGAUGACGGCCCUCGGGUUGUAAACCGCUGUCGGAAGGGACGAAUGCCCCGCAAGGGGAGCGACGGUACCUUCAAAGGAAGCACCGGCUAACUCCGUGCCAGCAGCCGCGGUAAUACGGAGGGUGCGAGCGUUGUCCGGAAUCACUGGGCGUAAAGGGCGCGUAGGCGGCCCGGUAAGUAGGGGGUGAAAUCUUGCGGCUCAACCGCAAGGCUGCCUCCUAGACUGCCAGGCUCGAGCACAGUAGGGGCAGGUGGAAUUCCCGGUGUAGCGGUGAAAUGCGUAGAGAUCGGGAAGAUCAUCAGUGGCGAAGGCGGCCUGCUGGGCUGUUGCUGACGCUGAGGCGCGACAGCGUGGGGAGCAAACAGGAUUAGAUACCCUGGUAGUCCACGCCGUAAACGAUGGGCACUAGGCGUCGGGGGGAGCGACCUCCCGGUGCCGUCGCUAACGCAGUAA